rnacentral:rRNA from 1 species
ACUCAAAGGAAUUGACGGGGACCCACACAAGCGGUGGAGCAUGGGGUUUAAUUCGAUAAUAAGCGAAGAACCUCACCCAGGCUUGACAUCCUAGGAAUCCUCCAGAAACGGAGGAGUGCCGCAAGGAACCUAGAGACAGGCGCUGCACGGUCGUCGUCAGCUCGUGCCUUGAGGUGUACUGUUAAGUCAGCGAACGAGCGCAACCCUCAUCCUAUGUUGAUUUUUCAUGGGAGACUGCCGCCUCCAAGGCGGAGGAAGGUGGGGAUGACGUCAGAUCAGCGUGGCCCUUAUGCCUGGGGCAACACCCGUGCUACAAUGGCCGAUACAAAGAGCCGCGAACCCGCAAGGGGGAGCCAAUCUCACAAAGUCGGUCUCAGUUCGGAUUGCAGUCUGCAACUCGACUGCAUGAAGUUGGAAUCGCUAGUAACCGUGAAUCAGCUACGUCACGGUGAAUAUGUUCCUGGGUCUUGUACACACCGCCCGU